rfam:Gossypium arboreum cultivar AKA8401 contig_1388_7, whole genome shotgun sequence.
AAUAGCAGAAUGACAAACUAGACUUUUUCUCUUGAUUUUCAGCUUUUUCCUCAUUUUAAAAAAUCAAAUUCAACUAAAAAUGCUAAAUAUUAGGAAUAGAAGUCUAAUUUGUCAUUUUCUUAUU